rnacentral:rRNA from 1 species
AGGACGAACGCUGGCGGCGUGCUUAACACAUGCAAGUCGAGCGGAAAGGCCCUUCGGGGUACUCGAGCGGCGAACGGGUGAGUAACACGUGAGCAACCUGCCCUUGGCUCUGGGAUAGCCUCCGGAAACGGGGAUUAAUACCGGACAUUCACUUCCUUCCGCAUGGUUGGUGGUGGAAAGUUUUUCGGCCAGGGAGGGGCUCGCGGCCUAUCAACUUGUUGGCGGGGUAACGGCCCACCAAGGCGACGACGGGUAGCC